UUCAAGUAAUCCAGGAUAGGCC
rnacentral:ncRNA from 2 species